AGUUGAAUCAGGAAGACAUCGUUCAUGCUGACUCUAUUUCUCCCCCGCCCCCUCUCUUCCUUUUUUCUGCUUCCAACUCCGUCAUUAGAUUGAGGGCGUUCAUUCUUUCAGUUAAACCAAUCAGAAUUUGCCACAACCUCUGUGAGCCAAUCAUAUUGUUGCUGUCAGACUUUCAAACUGUCUUUUCUCUCCUGGAGGACCCCGACCAGAUAAAAGACUGCAGCAUCACUCCAGCUCCAGGCCUCCCUCCCUCUCUCGCUCCAGCAGCUGGUGGAUCAAGCAGUCUUCAGUGAUCCCACUGAGCCCUUCACAUCCAUUCUGGUUCUGGCCUCUGUGGUCACAGCCCCUCCACCAGGACCCCGACCAGAUAAAAGACUGCAGCAUCACUCCAGCUCCAGGCCUCCCUCCCUCUCUCGCUCCAGCAGCUGGUGGAUCAAGCAGUCUUCAGUGAUCCCACUGAGCCCUUCACAUCCAUUCUGGUUCUGGCCUCUGUGGUCACAGCCCCUCCACCAGGACCCCGACCAGAUAAAAGACUGCAGCAUCACUCCAGCUCCAGGCCUCCCUCCCUCUCUCGCUCCAGCAGCUGGUGGAUCAAGCAGUCUUCAGUGAUCCCACUGAGCCCUUCACAUCCAUUCUGGUUCUGGCCUCUGUGGUCACAGCCCCUCCACCAGGACCCCGACCAGAUAAAAGACUGCAGCAUCACUCCAGCUCCAGGCCUCCCUCCCUCUCUCGCUCCAGCAGCUGGUGGAUCAAGCAGUCUUCAGUGAUCCCACUGAGCCCUUCACAUCCAUUCUGGUUCUGGCCUCUGUGGUCACAGCCCCUCCACCAGGACCCCGACCAGAUAAAAGACUGCAGCAUCACUCCAGCUCCAGGCCUCCCUCCCUCUCUCGCUCCAGCAGCUGGUGGAUCAAGCAGUCUUCAGUGAUCCCACUGAGCCCUUCACAUCCAUUCUGGUUCUGGCCUCUGUGGUCACAGCCCCUCCACCAGUUGACGGUGGCGUAGAGGUCGCUGGGAUCAGCUGAGGCUCCAGCAGAAGAAGAGGAA